rnacentral:rRNA from 1 species
CCUACGGGGGGCAGCAGUGGGGAAUCUUGGACAAUGGGGGAAACCCUGAUCCAGCGAUGCCGCGUGUGUGAAGAAGGCCUUCGGGUUGUAAAGCACUUUAGGUGGGGAAGAAAAGUAAUGAGUGAAUAACUGAUUGCUCUGACGGUACCCACAGAAUAAGCACCGGCUAACUCUGUGCCAGCAGCCGCGGUAAUACAGAGGGUGCAAGCGUUAAUCAGAAUGACUGGGCGUAAAGGGCGUGUAGGUGGUUGACUAGGUUUGAUGUGAAAUCCCCGGGCUUAACCUGGGAAUUGCGUCGAAAACGGGUUGACUCGAGUGAGAUAGAGGGUUGUGGAAUUUCCGGUGUAGCGGUGAAAUGCGUAGAUAUCGGAAAGAACAUCAGUGGCGAAGGCGACAACCUGGAUCUUAACUGACACUGAGGCGCGAAGGCGUGGGGAGCAAACAGGAUUAGAUACCCUUGUAGUC